GGGGCUGUUCGGCAUCUUUAGCAAACCUUCAUCCUUGACCCCAAGGUUGUGCCCACCUGGUGCCUUCCAGCCCGUGGCCUGCCUGUGAGCCGAGGGGAGACUCCCGCUGGGCACCCGCGUGUCCC